UUAUUGGAACAAUUACUGUGUAUUUUAGGUACGUUUUGUGCAUAAAGGCUCUAGACAUAAGAGCGAUGUUGUACUGGAAGUCCGUUAGAACACGGUGGUAAACCGUCAGUUUCUUAUUGCAAAAAAUGAGAUAAUUUAAUUUUUGUGAACACAAGGGUACAACGCAAACAAUUACAAAUGCGGUUACCACAUCUUCACCAACACAGUCCUCGACUGUCGCGUCCACUAAAAGCGUUACCUCUGCUGUCUCGUAUGUUUCUAUUGCAUCGAAUGCAAGUAAAUCAACCGCUGAAAUAGUUCAUUACGGCUGCGCACCAACUGUCUUCUUGCAUGCUGCUUCGCACCAUGGUAAACUGUUCACGAUUGGUCAGACAUGCUACGAGCUUGUGACGGAGACAAAAUCUUGAUCCAGCGCUGAAAGUGACUGCAAAAGUCGUGGCGGACAUUUAGUCGACAUUGCAAACGACGAACAACAGAAUAAAAUCUACGAGAUCGUGAGACAGUAUCAUGGUGACAAUGUUUGGAUUGGACUCAACGAUAAGGACAUGAUGUAAACUAUACGCACUGGUACCCUGGUCGCAAAACGUCGCGCCUCAAAGCGAUGCAGAUUGUGUGGCCAUGGUGAUGGCCCAUGGUGGACAAUGGAACGAUGUGCAUUGUAGUGGACUAAACGCCAAAUAUAUAGGAAACGUUUGUGAAUUCGGUAAUGGGAAAACUGCCUGCCCAAAUGGCGAAGUAUAUUAUCAAUGAAAAAUAGUACCCAUUGAUGCAAUACUUUCUUGGCCAUCUUAAAUUUGGGUUGUUGAUUGUAAACAUUAUAUUUAGUUUCAAAGUAUGUAUAAACAACAUGGUGUCUUUUAAUUAAAAUCAUUCGAGCGAAGGAUUUUUCCGUUUUUAUUACAUGGGUUCUUUCUAACCAAAGUGACUGCUUUGUGAUUGUUUUAUUACUGACGAUGUAUAAAAAGAAGAUAUUAUCUUUAUGGUUAUACGGUUACACCGGUUUUUAAAAACGUGUUAAUGAAUUGUAUAAAGGAGUUUAACAGCUAGAUAAUUAAUAAUGCAACAUUAUGCAAUAUCCAGUAUCAUUUUAAUUUGACGUGAGAUAUUAUUGCAACGUCAUAAAAAUCACUCAAUACCUAAUGAAAUGCGUUGUGGCAUUAUUUGACAGCAAUAUUCAAUAAAUGUCGCAUUUCAUCACUGACCCACUACUAUAGUUUGCAGAUGAAGUAGCAAUAACUAGCAAUCCAGAGUUUCCAGUUUCGAUGAACACUGAUGAUAGGUAUCGCAAAUCGCAGGUUCUUUGCUGAGUUUGAAUAUGUGCGUAUUUAACAUAUUUUUAAUAUAUUGUUCGGUUUUCUUGUGUAUAAUAUUCCAAAUAAUACUGUCACACUUAGGCAACACGACGCUCUGUCCUAGAAAAGCGUCUUCAAUCGUUGCACAAUUCGGUUAAAGCUGUUACGAUUUGUACCGCGACGUCGAGGUUUGGAGUCAC